rnacentral:rRNA from 1 species
GUCGAGCGGACAGAUGGGAGCUUGCUCCCUGAAGUCAGCGGCGGACGGGUGAGUAACACGUGGGCAACCUGCCUGUAAGACUGGGAUAACUCCGGGAAACCGGGGCUAAUACCGGAUAAUUCUUUCCCUCACAUGAGGGAAAGCUGAAAGAUGGUUUCGGCUAUCACUUACAGAUGGGCCCGCGGCGCAUUAGCUAGUUGGUGAGGUAACGGCUCACCAAGGCAACGAUGCGUAGCCGACCUGAGAGGGUGAUCGGCCACACUGGGACUGAGACACGGCCCAGACUCCUACGGGAGGCAGCAGUAGGGAAUCUUCCGCAAUGGACGAAAGUCUGACGGAGCAACGCCGCGUGAGUGAUGAAGGUUUUCGGAUCGUAAAACUCUGUUGUUAGGGAAGAACAAGUACCGGAGUAACUGCCGGUACCUUGACGGUACCUAACCAGAAAGCCACGGCUAACUACGUGCCAGCAGCCGCGGUAAUACGUAGGUGGCAAGCGUUGUCCGGAAUUAUUGGGCGUAAAGCGCGCGCAGGCGGUUCCUUAAGUCUGAUGUGAAAGCCCCCGGCUCAACCGGGGAGGGUCAUUGGAAACUGGGGAACUUGAGUGCAGAAGAGAAGAGUGGAAUUCCACGUGUAGCGGUGAAAUGCGUAGAGAUGUGGAGGAACACCAGUGGCGAAGGCGACUCUUUGGUCUGUAACUGACGCUGAGGCGCGAAAGCGUGGGGAGCAAACAGGAUUAGAUACCCUGGUAGUCCACGCCGUAAACGAUGAGUGCUAAGUGUUA